AAAGAUUAAGCCAUGCAUGUCUAAGUAUAAGCAAUUAUACAGCGAAACUGCGAAUGGCUCAUUAAAUCAGUUAUCGUUUAUUUGAUAGUACCUUACUACAUGGAUAACCGUGGUAAUUCUAGAGCUAAUACAUGCUAAAAAUCCCGACUUCGGAAGGGAUGUAUUUAUUAGAUUAAAAACCAAUGCCCUUCGGGGCUCUCUGGUGAUUCAUAAUAACUUCUCGAAUCGCACGGCCUUGCGCCGGCGAUGGUUCAUUCAAAUUUCUGCCCUAUCAACUUUCGACGGCUGGGUCUUGGCCAGCCGUGGUGA
rnacentral:rRNA from 1 species